rnacentral:rRNA from 1 species
UACGGAGGGAGCUAGCGUUGUUCGGAAUUACUGGGCGUAAAGCGUGCGCAGGCGGUUGUGCAAGACAGAUGUGAAAUCCCCGGGCUCAACCUGGGAAUUGCAUUUGUGACUGCACGGCUAGAGUGUGUCAGAGGGGGGUAGAAUUCCACGUGUAGCAGUGAAAUGCGUAGAGAUGUGGAGGAAUACCGAUGGCGAAGGCAGCCCCCUGGGAUAACACUGACGCUCAUGCACGAAAGCGUGGGGAGCAAACAGG